AAUCGAUGCGGCGGCCGAGAGACGGGCGGACCGGCGGUAGGAAGGGCGGCGCCGCCACCACCGCAUCAAGCAGGCGCGGAAGAACGCCUAGAUCCCGUCCUCCGGUAAUCUCCUGCCGCCACCGCCUGAUGCAGCAUCCCGAGGAGCAGACAACGAUUCUCAAGGAAGGGUGGGACAAAUAGUUUGAUUUCAGGAGUAUAUGCUCCCAAUACGGAUGCCAUUACCAGCCACUGUAGGACUGAUGCCAUUGUGAGGUAUAAUCCAAGAAGAGGAACUCUGCUUGCAAACACCGUCAAUCAGAUGUUUUCCUCGUUGACAUGGGUAGAGGAAUCAAAAUGGCCGGAAAGGGACCUUCGCAUCCAUCCGUGAUGUAUGGGUUGCCCUUGUAUCCAUCAGAGCACUUGCAACGAUAACCGCGACCAUUGGUGGCAUCGACACAGUAACUGUUGCUACUAACACAAGCGUAGGAAGUUCUGUUCUCUUUUGCUUCCUCGCAUUUUUUCCAUUCAACUGUCCAAUCCAAGACAGUGGGAACCAUCCCCUUGUACGUAUCACUGAAUACUGUGGAGUCGACAUAAGUGGUACUAAAGUUGAAUGCUGAAGUUUCCAUGACUACCAUGUAGUUGC
rnacentral:sRNA from 1 species